GACCACCUUCUCACGGAUUCCAGCACAGACAUGUACGUGUGAAUGAGGUUUUAAGGAGAGCCCUUCAGUUAUUUAAAAAGUUUAGUAUGGACAUGACCAGUCUAUGUUACAAGUUAAACCUGGCUAUCAGUCAGGGAAAAACUGCGAUGGAUGCAAGGCUAUACUCAGAAUUCAAGGUGUACACGAUGCUGAGUUGUUCCCAUCAGGGCAAGGCCUGUUUAUGGAUGACGAAACUGUCCAGUAUUUGAAGAUUUUAACCGCAUGAAUAAAGUUUUCCUGCUAUGACGUGGAGCUG